GGGGAAUAUUGGACAAUGGGGGCAACCCUGAUCCAGCAAUACCGCGUGUGUGAAGAAGGCCUUAGGGUUGUAAAGCACUUUCGGCAGUGAAGAAAAGCUUAUGGUCAAUAUCCAUGAGUCUUGACGUUAACUGCACAAGAAGCACCGGCUAACUCCGUG
rnacentral:rRNA from 1 species